rnacentral:rRNA from 1 species
CUAGUUGGUAAGGUAACGGCUUACCAAGGCAACGAUGCAUAGCCGACCUGAGAGGGUGAUCGGCCACACUGGAACUGAGACACGGUCCAGACUCCUACGGGAGGCAGCAGUAGGGAAUCUUCCGCAAUGGGCGAAAGCCUGACGGAGCAACGCCGCGUGAGUGAUGAAGGUCUUCGGAUCGUAAAACUCUGUUAUUAGGGAAGAACAUAUGUGUAAGUAACUGUGCACAUCUUGACGGUACCUAAUCAGAAAGCCACGGCUAACUACGUGCCAGCAGCCGCGGUAAUACGUAGGUGGCAAGCGUUAUCCGGAAUUAUUGGGCGUAAAGCGCGCGUAGGCGGUUUUUUAAGUCUGAUGUGAAAGCCCACGGCUCAACCGUGGAGGGUCAUUGGAAACUGGAAAACUUGAGUGCAGAAGAGGAAAGUGGAAUUCCAUGUGUAGCGGUGAAAUGCGCAGAGAUAUGGAGGAACACCAG